rnacentral:rRNA from 1 species
CCUACGGGGGGCAGCAGUGGGGAAUAUUGGGCAAUGGAGGCAACUCUGACCCAGCAACGCCGCGUGAGUGAUGAAGGUCUUCGGAUUGUAAAACUCUUUAAGUGGGGACGAAGAAAGUGACUGUACCCACAGAAUAAGCCUCGGCUAACUACGUGCCAGCAGCCGCGGUAAUACGUAGGAGGCAAGCGUUAUCCGGAAUGACUGGGCGUAAAGGGGGCGUAGGUGGUUUGACAAGUUAGUAGCGUAAUUCCGGGGCUCAACUUCGGAACUACUACUAAAACUGUUGGGCUUGAGUGCAGGAGAGGUGAAUGGAAUUCCUAGUGUAGCGGUGGAAUGCGUAGAUAUAUGGAAGAACACCAGUGGCGAAGGCGGCUGUCUGGUCUGCAACUGACGCUGAGGCUCGAAAGCAUGGGUAGCGAACAGGAUUAGAUACCCUUGUAGUC